AUCAGGCUGAAGAGUUUCAAAUUGGACGAAACGCGCGUUCUGGAU
rnacentral:hammerhead_ribozyme from 1 species